UUCUUUCCAUGAAUAGACUUCUUGCAACAUUAGCAUAGCUGCCACUGUCAAUAAUCAUUUCACAUACCUUAUCAUUGACAAGACAUCGUGUGUGGAAAAUGUUCUUCCUCUGCUCGUUGUCUUCACUCCUAACUUGCAUGUUGAGACUCUUCAGACAACAAGGACAUUACUCCUAAGUGGAGUAUCUUCAAUGGAUUGAGACGUAGUGUAGUACU
rnacentral:lncRNA from 1 species